ACUAAACGGAGUGCUCUUUUUAAGUGGAAACUAUACUUUAUAAUAACCAAAUCAUAACUGUUGCCAAAAUUUUAUGGGCAAUUUCAUCAAUGAAGAAAGCGGGAGUUUCGUCAAUGAAUCAGGAGAACCAUUCGAAUGAGAAUCAGCGCACUUACUACGGCGUGAGUUUCAAUGCAACUGGAAAAUAUUAUCGAGCCAGUCUUGUCCAGUAACAGUGCAAAAAUUGGUUAAACACACAGGAAACAUUGCAUCAAAAACAGAAAAUGCAGAAUCAAUCUAGACAAUCGAACGAAUAAUCGGACGAAGAAAUUACACGAAGAUUUUGGCCCGAAAUAUUAACAAUGGAUGUCCUUGUUGGUAAAAGCCAUAAGGAAUUCAUACACAGUAAAACUACGACAAAGCAAUUGGAAUGCGAAUGUUAGAAUGGUUUCGUCGUUUCGAUGUAAUUGAGAGCUGCUUAGUGAGUUUUAGCAUAGCAAUUAGUAUGUAAAUAUAAGCCGGAAAUUGACACUUGACAAGUAACUGUCAAAAUAUGAAAAACCUAUGCGCUGACAUUGAUUUAUCAGUAUGAGUAAUAGUUAUUUAUGUAUCGAUUGUGGAGGCCGAAAGAGUUACGUUAUAAGUUUUAUAUGCUGCGUACUGGAGACGAAAGUUAAAAAAUAUAAGCCCAAGGGCCGAAAGUUACAGAAAAAUGAAAGCUAGAGGCUAAUGUGGGCUAAAUUUACGAGAAAAAUUCUGUAAUUUGUGCCCAACGCAUGAAAAGAACUUAAUUAUUUCUUAUUCACAUACGACUCAUAAAUUUCAAUUAAAUGGCAAUAUUUUCAAAAUUCGAACUUUUACAACUUUUACUUCAACAUGCUACAAAAGCCGUAUAAGAAGGAUUUAAUAAUGACAAUAUUUACCUUUAAGUAUUGCUAUUUUGUCUAUGAAUGAUCGCAUGUAAGUAGUGUCGACUUGAAAUCGCACUCGCGCUAGGUUAGUGAUGUGAAGUGAGCAUGUUUUGUUGUACAUUUUGACCUGUGUAACGUUUUCUAUUAGAGCAGUGGUACGGCUGGAAACUGGAAUAUGUUUAUACAAACACGAAAUUUUGAAAACCGACACCUUUUCUGCUUCUGUGUUUUAUUUGAGUUUCUGAUUUCUCCAUAUAAAAAUACA